UACGUAGGCAGCGAGCGUUGUUCGGAGUUACUGGGCGUAAAGGGUGCGUAGGCGGGUUUUUAAGUCAGAGGUGAAAUCCUGGAGCUCAACUCCAGAACUGCCUUUGAUACUGAAAGUCUUGAGUAUGACAGAGGUGAGUGGAACUGCGAGUGUAGAGGUGAAAUUCGUAGAUAUUCGCAAGAACACCAGUGGCGAAGGCGGCUCACUGGGUCAUUACUGACGCUGAGGCACGAAAGCGUGGGGAGCAAACAGG
rnacentral:rRNA from 1 species